CCAAGAAGGUGGCAGGGCUGUGAGUGUGAGGGACCCCGAGGGAGGGCAGGCUGCCCCAGGCCCUGCCCCCUCCAGGAAGCCUUCUUGCUCCAGCCCCACACACGAUCUCAA
ensembl:miRNA Mir3072 microRNA 3072